CGCCUUGUGGCCUAAUGGAUAAGGCGUCGGACUUCGGAUCCGAAGUUUGCAGGUUCGAGUGCUGCCAGGGUCG
rnacentral:tRNA from 1 species